rnacentral:rRNA from 1 species
AUACGUAGGGUGCAAGCGUUAAUCGGAAUUACUGGGCGUAAAGCGUGCGCAGGCGGUUUUGUAAGACAGAGGUGAAAUCCCCGGGCUCAACCUGGGAACUGCCUUUGUGACUGCAAGGCUAGAGUACGGCAGAGGGGGGUGGAAUUCCGCGUGUAGCAGUGAAAUGCGUAGAUAUGCGGAGGAACACCGAUGGCGAAGGCAAUCCCCUGGGCCUGUACUUACGCUCAUGCACGAAAGCGGGGGGAGCAAACAGGAUUAGAUACCCUGGUAGUCCACGCCCUAAACUAUGUCAACUGGUUGUUGGGUCUUCAUUGACUCAGUAACGAAGCUAACGCGUGAAGUUGACCGCCUGGGGAGUACGGCCGCAAGGUUGAAACUCAAAUGAAUUGACGGG